ACGGGAGGCAGCAGUGGGGAAUAUUGCACAAUGGGGGAAACCCUGAUGCAGCAACGCCGCGUGAAGGAUGAAGGCCCUUGGGUCGUAAACUUCUGUUCUAAGGGAAGAUAAUGACGGUACCUUAGGAGCAAGUCCCGGCUAACUACGUGCCAGCAGCCGCGGUAAUACGUAGGGGGCAAGCGUUAUCCGGAAUUAUUGGGCGUAAAGAGUGCGUAGGUGGUUUCCUAAGCAUGGGGUUUAAGGCAAUGGCUUAACCAUUGUUCGCCCCAUGAACUGGGUGACUUGAGUUCUGGAGAGGAAAGCGGAAUUCCUAGUGUAGCGGUGAAAUGCGUAGAUAUUAGGAGGAACACCAGUGGCGAAGGCGGCUUUCUGGACAGAUACUGACACUGAGGCACGAAAGUGUGGGGAGCAAACAGGAUUAGAUACCCUGGUA
rnacentral:rRNA from 1 species